GGGACCGAAGCUCAAAUGGUUGAGCGCGUGCUUUGCAAGCAUGAGGCUGUCGGUUCGAAUCCGAUCGGUUCCA
rnacentral:tRNA from 1 species